CAGAAGUCAAAAUUCUCUCCCGCGAAAGAGAAAUGAGCAUAACGGCGAGAGCAAAUGUUUGCUCCCGUUACAUUCAUUUAUAGGCUCAUUGUCAACAAACAUUUUGAUUGUUAAUCAUGAAUUACAGCCAAUUCCUUGGGUUUUUUAAGUCAAGUCGUGCAAAAACAGUAUAUUACGAGUCUAUACACCACUGUUGUGGUGUAUUCCUUUGUUGCUUUAUGGCCCUCGAGCUUGGACACCUCAGGAAUAAUCGUGCAUUUCUCUCCCUUUGCGUAUAAUGUACUAUUAUUUUCCUUACUGAAUCAAUAAAAAACAUUCUUCAUA